GACCACCAGUUGGCAACCACUGCCUUAGAGAGAGCCUCAGGCUCUAGGUAAAAUAGGCAUUUUCUUGACUUUACUUAAGCAAUGGUGAAACAUAGAGAACAAGGGCUUGCACGCCCAGUUGUCCAUUUUCAUUUUCCUGAAAGCUUCACGGCCAUAGUUAUCACGAGGGUUCAGGGCCGGCCACACUUGGCACGAGAGUAAAAGUCAUUCUGCAAGACAGGAAUAGUGACACUUUCAGUCUCAGUCCUGUCGAAGAUGUGGAAACUGGGACCAUGCCUCAACUUGACUGCAGGACUGCUAGAAGGAUCUGGAAGGUGAGCAAUGGGCAUGCAUCUCUAAUGAGAUUCAGCUGACAGCGCCAGGCAGAUGAACCCUGCAGCUGCCCAGGAGGAACCUCACCUUCUCCACUUGCCUCUCUCGGGUCCCCACAGAACCUCUUAGGAGGACCAGUUUGCCAUUUAGGGGUUGUGUCCCAGAGCUUGUCAAUUCUAUGAUACUGGGAAGCAAAAGGUCAAAGUUGCCAAACGAACUGAAGCUAGGGCAAUGGGGAUGUUUUUAUUUAAAAAAAAAAAAAAGCCAGAGAGAAAUUAAUCAGGAAAACAGAGGACAUAUUUCACAAGACAGCUCAGGUUGGUCUCUAUAUGAAGGUACCACAAAGCUGCUCCCUUCCCUGGGGUCCCUCGUCCCUAGUGUGGGGGCUCAGUGCAAUCCAUCGAACAAGGAAAAGUAACAGAGGGGAACUCUGCCCUGCCCUCCGUGAAGCGCACACCUGGGCAGAUGGGGUGGAGAUGGCUCUGUGCAGGCUGGAGGGAGAGCUGAAAUGUCCUUGGAGACCAGCAUGCAUGUAGGGCUCUGUUCUUCAAUAGAUACUGAGACCAGCAAGGACCUCAGAGGGGGUUCCCCAAAUGCAGGUGUCAACCCAACACGGGCACACCACCAGUAGAAGAGUCAGUGCUCAAGGUCUCCAUGCAAGAGGGUCCCAGAGAGGUCCUGGUCUCCAAAGGGCACCUGAUUGGUACAGUGUGACUUCUCUAGAAAGCUGCCCCCUUCCCCAGAAAGGGGCUGCAGUCCUCAUGUGCUGUAGCACUUCCCAGAAUAGCAUCUGUGUACAUCAUGCAGAUGGAAUAAACACAGGGUCGUAAAAAGACAUAACCCUGUCCCAGUCCUGGGACAUGUGGCUGCAGUUUCAGAUUCUAACAUCAGAGCAUAUGUGUGUGUGUAUGGGGGGCGGGGGGGGGGGCAGGACACAAUGAGCACUGACAGGAACUGGCUGCUGGGAAAGUUCUAACGCUAGAGAGAGGCCAGGGCAGGCAUAUGGGUGCUGCCCAGGGGCCAGGACCAGGGGUGGUAUUCACAAGGCCUCCAAGUUGCUCAAAGGCUUGUAGAGACGUUCUCUAGUGACCCGUAUCGCCAGCCCCAUUUCCCUGAUUCAGAAACUGAGAUGGGAGUGAAGUGCUUUUGUCCAAAAUCUGAGUCAGUAUAGAAAAGGAAAUUCACAAAAAAGAAAAA